UACGUAGGGGGCAAGCGUUGUCCGGAUUUAUUGGGCGUAAAGAGCGUGUAGGCGGCCGUACAGGUCAGCUGUGAAAACUCGAGGCUCAACCUCGAGACGUCGGUUGAAACCGUACGGGCUAGAGUCCGGAAGAGGAGAGUGGAAUUCCCGGUGUAGCGGUGAAAUGCGCAGAUAUCGGGAGGAACACCGGUGGCGAAGGCGGGUCUCUGGGCCGAUACUGGACGCUGAGGAGCGAAAGCGUGGGGAGCGAACAGG
rnacentral:rRNA from 1 species